AUCCCAGCCCCUCUCCAUCGUAGAAGGAGCAUAGGACGGGCGUAGAAGGAGCACAGGGAGGAACCCGCAUGUCCCUUCUCCCCGUCAGAAC
rnacentral:sRNA from 1 species